AGUGAACGCUGGCGGUAGGCCUAACACAUGCAAGUCGAACGGCAGCACAGUAAGAGCUUGCUCUUACGGGUGGCGAGUGGCGGAUGGGUGAGGAAUACAUCGGAAUCUACUUAUUCGUGGGGGAUAACGGAGGGAAACUUACACUAAUACAGCAUACGACCUACGGCUGGAAGUAGGGGAUAUUCGUGCCUUGCCCGAUUGAAUGAGUCGAUGUCGGUUUAGCUAGUUGGCGGGGAAAAGGCCGACCAAGGCAAGGAUCCGUACCUGGUCUGAGAGGAUGAUCAGCCACACUGGAACUGAGACAAGCUCCAGACUCUUACGGGGGGAAGAAGUGGGGAAUAUUGGACAAUGGGCGCAAGCCUGACCCAGCCAGACCGGGUGGGUGAGGAAGGCCUUCGGGCGGUAAAGCCCUUUUGUUGGGAAAGAAAAGCAGCAGGUUAAAACCCCGCUGUUGUGACGGUACCCAAAGAGUAAGCACCGGCUAACUACGUG
rnacentral:rRNA from 1 species